rnacentral:rRNA from 1 species
GACGAACGCUGGCGGCGUGCUUAACACAUGCAAGUCGAACGGAAAGGCCCUGCUUUUGUGGGGUGCUCGAGUGGCGAACGGGUGAGUAAAACGUGAGUAAACUGCCCUUGAAUUUGGGAUAACAUCAGGAAACAGGGGCGAAUACAGGAGAGGAGAUCCUGAUGCAUGGGGGGGGAUGGAAAGAGUCGGCGGUGGGGGAUGGACUAGCGGCUUAUGAGCUGGUUGGUGGGGUAGUGGCUUCCAAAGGCUAUGACGGGUAGCCGGCCUUAGAGGGUGACCGGCCACCUUGCUACUGAGAUACGCCCCAGACUCCUACGUGCGGCAGCAGUCGGGAGUCUUGCACAAUGGCCCGACGCCUGAUGCAGCAACCCCGCGUGCGUGAUGACGUCCUUCGGGUUGUAAACCGCUUUCUCCUGUGCCGAAGCGUUCGUGACGGUACUGGGUAAAGAAGCACCGGCUAACUACGUG